CAUCCCCCUACGAGGAGUCAGAGCCGGCAGGAGAUACAAAUGAAAUUAAUUUGUAUACUACUGUUUCGCAAGACGAACAUGUUGUGUCUCAUGCCGAAUUAAUGAGUAUAACGAAAGAAGAGCAAAAUGAAAUGAAAACUUCGAAAACAUUCGAACUACUCAAGUCGUUCGAAGAAUACUUUGUGUAUUCAUUUUGUGCUUUGAGAAAUUGCGAGCAGACUUGCGAAAUGGAAGCGGAAGCUGCAGGAAAAAAUAUAACACACACAGCAGAAAACAGCUGACAAUAUUCGAAUGUAUUCAAUAUACAACAUUUAAUAGCUUCUGCUGCUCACUCACUCACUUCGUUUCUUUUCGGGUAUAUUUUUAUGCAGCCGAGAGAAACACGACUUCAGUCACUCACUCAUUCUCAUUUCGUUUUGUACAAGUAUUCACUCAAUUCAAUGAUGACUUUGUACAUUUGAAUGUGCUUUUUUUGCCAUUCAUGCAGACGUCUAGUACAUACAUAUGUACAUACACACAUAGAAAUGAGCGCGUGUAUAAGGCUGGAAUGCUUGAUGCUAUGCGUGCAGACUUAUGUAUAUAUACAUGUGGGAUUCGUAAAAGUUGCAACACCCCUGGCAGAUGAACCGCAGGGAAUCGGAGUAAACGUUAGCUUUUGAACUAGAUCACGAAUCGUUCUUAGAAGAAAAAGAGUCGUUAUGCAGUCGUCGACCAGCAGAGUCGUGAGGCAGCCGUCAAGCAGCUAAGACGUACAACAGAAUCAAGUGUCGCUAAGUAAAAAUGCCGAAUGAGAUAAAGAAGAACAGAAGUGAAAUAGAGAUCACAAGAAGUGAAAAGAUCAUGAACACGUACAAUUAAUUAAAUAACCUAAGUGUAACUAAAAUUAAUCUCUAUAAUAAAAUACAAUAUAAUAUAAUAUAAUUUGGUAGACAUUUGUUGUAAAACUCGUUAUAGUUUAAAGUUAAAAGGAAAUCGUUAAAUUGACUUUUAAUUUACUCAAUAAAUGUAAAAUCCUACAAAUUGGGAGCUCAACCGGGAUUGGUCCAAGUUACACUUUAAGCAAUUUAAUUAAUUGAAUCGCGAAAGACAAAGCUGCUGAAAAGUGAGAAAUGAACAAUUAUUGCGAAGGUGCGAGCGAGACAAAAAGAGACGCUUAGUGACGAUUGCAAAUUCUGGUGAAAUUCACUUUUCUGGGAAAGCGACGCGCGCAAGCAGAAAGGUAAAAGACAAAGACAAAAAGUGUGAGCAGAGACGUCAAAGAAGUCGGUGGAUGAAAAUUUUGCUGAUACGCAGGCGGAUGAGCUGGUGCGUAAAGAGACGAAGUUAAUCGAGAACGUAAGCUAGGUGGCUAUGCGUCAAGGUUAAUUUAUCAAAGUUGCUAGUGAGAUUCGUCGUGGGACGCAGUUGAUCAAGAGCGCAAGUCAGGUGGCUGUGCGUUAAGAUCAACACAGAAGGUGGAACUGAGAUUCAUCGUUGGAAUCACAGGCAGACUAUCAGGUGGAUAGUGUAGUAUGUCUCAUUUAAUAAUAUAUAUACCCGGCACUCAAUACACUAAAAUGUACACAUAGUGACACUUUGUCGCUAUGUAAAUAUACAACCAAAUAUAUACAAUAAUGUAAACAUAAAUGCACUUGAGAUGAUCGGACAAAUAUACAUAUAUACCGCUUAUAUAAGUUAACAACAAAAAUAUUCUUCAAAUUAAAAACAAAAAUAUUCUACAUUGCAACAAAACCCAAUGGGAAUUGUUGCAACGCAAAUAAAACGUAACAAGCUGAUCAGACCAAUAAGCCAAAACUGCUGACACAACGUCUAGCGGACUUCCUGCACACGCCAACCAGAGCUCCAGAAAUUCUAAGAAGAAUUGCACAACGGUUCAACAACACCACGAGCGACGCCGCUGCCAACGUCGUCGACUGAACCACAGCUCAGCUAGGGAUAGAAUUGAUUUAAGUAAUUUAGUUGCAAAUUUGUUCUUGAAUAAAACGGACUGCAUUUAAGCAGUAAAAUA